ACAGCAGUACUAGAGACUGAUGUGAUGCGCAACAGAACCAGUUCAAACUGUUCCUUCUUGUUGUACAAUAAAGCAUGGUUUUGAAAGACUACCAUUGGUGAAUCAGCUCUGGGCAGUAAUAUUAAAACAGGCUCCAUCUGUCCCAACAACAAAUUGCAGGAAAAAGAAAGGAUUGCAUUUAUAUAGUGCCUUCCAUAACCUCAGGAUCCCCUAAGCACUUUACUAAGUAUUUUUGAAGACCAGUCACUGCUGAAAUGUAGAAACAUAGCAUCAUAUUAGCGCGCUCCAAGCUCCCACAAACCGGGUAAUAAAUGACCAGGUAAUUUGUGGCAUUGGCUGAGAGUUAAAUAUUGGCCAGAUCACCGGGGAGAACUCCCCUGCUCUUCUUCAAAAUAGGGCUGUUGGAUCAUUUACAUUGACCUGAGAGGGGAGACACAUCCUUGGUUUACCACCUCACCCGAAAGAUAGCACCUUUGACAGUGCAGCACUCCCUCAAAAUUGCACUGGAGUGCCAGCCUGAACUGUGUGUUUGAGUUUCUCGACUGCGACUUGAUACCUACAAUUUUUGAACUCACAACCAAGAGCACUACCACUGGUCAUGAAAAAAUGGACAUCCAAGCCUGCCAUUGGAACAGUGGAGAAGGAUUUAAGUUGCAGCUAUAUUGGUUUCAGUAAGGGUGCUGACCUCAGUGUGAACUAACAUAUGGGCCUCACACAUAGCCAACUGCAGACCCAAAGGAAACAUGUUAGAUUCUCUAUGGCCUGAAGCCAACCAAGAAGGACCAGUUUCGAACAGUGUAUCACAACAGCAGAUCUUGUCGGGAAUAUGAAAAAUGUAUUCUGCAAUGUCCACAUGGUGAAGAGCUAUUAACCCCAGUGGUCUAUUGACCCCGAGCUAAUUAGUGCUCACAGUCUAUAACCCUGAAUGUAAUAAACCAAAGAUAAUAUCAAA